AUGUGUCACUGUGCAAAUAACAGCCUCCUUGGCUCCCCUGCCCCUCUUAAUAAACCUUCACCCUUCUCUCCUGCAUCUGCGGGCCUUGGUCGAGCAGCAUACAUGCAGAAGAUAGCAAUCUCUUCUUCACAUCAACUAGUAAGCUAAUGUUUAAGUGUCCUUGAUGUUUUUGGAUCCAACCAAGAAAAAAUUGUAGCUAUAUGCAGGCAGUUACUUGGGGAGAGUUAGCCUUCAGUCCCUGAUAGAACCUUCCAAAGUUCAUUGCUCAAUUGAUUUGGAAUUUGAAAUGUAUUUUGUCAUGUAAAUAGUAGGUAA
rnacentral:lncRNA from 1 species